CAAAUGCUCUAAUUACGGUGACAUAAUUACCACUGUUAUUGGGUGAACCUCUGUAUGUUGUUUGUUACUGAAGGUUCAGUAAAUGAUGGAACAUUG
rfam:Medicago truncatula strain A17 chromosome 8, whole genome shotgun sequence.